CUGUGUAGGAGAAGGUCCACUCAGCACCCAGCAUGGACAUGAGGGCCCCUGCUCAGCUCUUGGGGCUCCUGCUGCUCUGGCUCCCAGGUGCCAGGUGUGACAUCCAGAUGACCCAGUCUCCUUCGUCACUGUCUGUGUCUGUAGGUGAAAAAGCCACCAUCACUUGCAGGGCCAGUGAGAGCAUUGGGUACAGUUUAGCCUGGUACCAGCAGCCACCAGGGAAAGCCCCUAAACUCCUGAUCUAUGCUGCAGAGCUAUUGGAAUCUGGGGUUCCAUCCAGGUUCAGUGGGAGUCAAUCUGGGACAGAGUUCACUCUCACCAUCAGCAGCCUGCAGCCUGAAGAUGUUGCCACUUAUUACUGUCAGCAGAGUAAUAACUGGCCUCCACAGUGAUACAAGUCAUAACAAAAACCUCCCAGGGAAGCAGAAGUGAGAGGCUGGGCUGCCCAGCUGCUGACAGAGCUUCUCAGAUGCAGCCAGACUUGUAAGGUCACUGGAAAGUGUUGGGAGGAAGGUCAUGGAGUCAUCUCCACACCCAAACUCUCUUUCCUCCUGCUCAUCCCCAGCAGCUCACACCUGACCAUGCCAAUGCUCACUUACAAAGAACACAGAUCAGUACUCAUUUGUAGUCCAGGUUGUGUUAAAAGUUUGCAGUCACUCAAUAAAGAGCAGCCAUUUUAGUUACAUCAGGCAGGUUUUAAAUAGUAAGACAACAUAACUUGUGAAAACGAUUUCUGAAAAAUAGUUUUAUAAAGAAAAACAUCAUUGAAAAUGUUUGAAAAUAAUUUUUGAUUGCCAGGUAUAAUUGUACUUGAAGUACAAUUUGAGGUUUGGGUACGUGUCUACGUCGUGCAAUGGUCUGAUGCAUGUAAUUGACAAGGUAGUUCAUGACCUUAAACAUUUAUGUUUCUCAUAGUUAGAGGUGUUUUUUUUUCCUUUCUGGAUGUGAGAUAUUAAACAAAACUUACUUCAACUUACCUGUUAACAGUGCACCACAUAUUUCAAUUCAUUUACCAUAAA